rnacentral:misc_RNA from 1 species
GUUCGAGCGUCAGUACAACACUCAAGCCUUGCUUGGUAUUGAGCCAGGUCCGCAAGGGCCGGCUUCAAAAUCAGUGGCGGCGCCAUCUGGCUCUAAGCGUAGUAAUACUCCUCGCUAUUGAGUCCUGGUGGAUGCUGGCCAGCAACCCCCAACUUUCUAAGUUUGACCUCGGAUCAGGUAGGGAUACCCGCUGAACUUAA